rnacentral:rRNA from 1 species
CGCCACCAGAUUUCGGCGAUCCCCGCCGUUCCCCACCGCCCAGCUCUCCUCCCCGAGGUCACCUCUCCCUGCUCACCAUCUCCACCGACCGGUUUCUCUCCUCGCCCAGGAGUGUCCUGCCUCCUCGCCGCCAAGGCCGCCGCCGCCCGCCGCCUCGAGCGGCGCCGCCUCCUCCUCGAGCGCCGCGCCGUAGACCUCGCCUCCCUCGCCCUUGCCGCCCGCGCUGGCAUCGAUGCCACCCACGCGCACCGCCUCGCCGUCGCCCGCGACAUCAGCUCGACCAACGGCGAGAUCGAGGACGCGCAGCAGAAGGCGGAGCAGUGGGACCGCUUCUACGAGUCCAAGAGGAAGGAGAUGGAGGAGUUCCGGCCGUCAUCUCCACAGCCUCCAUCCACCCCGGCCGCAGCCACUUCUCAACCCCACGAGCAGCCUCCUGGCCUAGUUCCUCGUCACCAUCCUCCUCCCGGUCCCUGUCCACCUCCGCCUCCACCUGGUGGUCCCAGAGGCGACGAUUCCCCGUCGCCUCGGCCGCCGUAG